rnacentral:rRNA from 1 species
CACGUAGGGUGCGAGCGUUGUCCGGAAUUAUUGGGCGUAAAGAGCUCGUAGGCGGUGUGUCGCGUCGGCCGUGAAAACUUCCAGCUUAACUGUGAGCGUGCGGUCGAUACGGGCAUCACUGGAGUUCGGCAGGGGAGUCUGGAAUUCCUGGUGUAGCGGUGAAAUGCGCAGAUAUCAGGAGGAACACCGGUGGCGAAGGCGGGUCUCUGGGCCGAUACUGACGCUGAGGAGCGAAAGCAUGGGGAGCGAACAGG